UGAAGGGAUAUACACGCUUAGACGGAGAGAGAAAGAGAGAGAGAGAGAGAGAGCAGAACAAACGAACGAACGAACGUGGACGUGGAAGGAAGCGAAGAUCACAGUGCUCCCCGGCGAUGAAGAUGGCGCGCAGCGACUUCAAGCUGUACUUCCGGCCAUACGUGACGUCCGGAUCGACGCGCCGGAUGACGCGAAAAGCGGUCGGUACGGAAAACACGGCCGACACCUUGUGCUGAUCGAUGAUGCGAAAGUACUGGCCCGGAUCGGGCGUUCGGUCCGGUUUGCCCUCGUACAUGACG